GAGUUUGAUCCUGGCUCAGAUUGAACGCUGGCGGCAUGCUUUACACAUGCAAGUCGAACGGUAACAGGGAGCUUGCUCCGCUGACGAGUGGCGAACGGGUGAGUAAUAUAUCGGAACGUACCCAAGAGUGGGGGAUAACGUAGCGAAAGUUACGCUAAUACCGCAUACGAUCUAAGGAUGAAAGCAGGGGACCGCAAGGCCUUGUGCUCCUGGAGCGGCCGAUAUCUGAUUAGCUAGUUGGUAGGGUAAAGGCCUACCAAGGCAUCGAUCAGUAGCUGGUCUGAGAGGACGACCAGCCACACUGGAACUGAGACACGGUCCAGACUCCUACGGGAGGCAGCAGUGGGGAAUAUUGGACAAUGGGCGCAAGCCUGAUCCAGCCAUGCCGCGUGGGUGAUGAAGGCCUUAGGGUUGUAAAGCCCUUUCGGCGGGGAAGAUAAUGACGGUACCCGCAGAAGAAGCCCCGGCUAACUUCGUGCCAGCAGCCGCGGUAAUACGAAGGGGGCUAGCGUUGCUCGGAAUCACUGGACGUAAAGCGCACGUAGGCGGACUCUUAAGUCGGUGGUGAAAUCCUGGAGCUCAACUCCAGAACUGCCUUCGAUACUGGGAGUCUUGGAGUCCGGGAGAGGUGAGUGGAACUGCGAGUGUAGAGGUGAAAUUCGUAGAUAUUCGCAAGAACACCAGUGGCGAAGGCAGCUCACUGGCCCGGUACUGACGCUGAGGUGCGAAAGCGUGGGGAGCAAACAGGAUUAGAUACCCUGGUAGUCCACGCCGUAAACGAUGGAUGCUAGCCGUUGGCGGGUUUACUCGUCAGUGGCGCAGCUAACGCAUUAAGCAUCCCGCCUGGGGAGUACGGUCGCAAGAUUAAAACUCAAAGGAAUUGACGGGGACCCGCACAAGCGGUGGAGCAUGUGGUUUAAUUCGACGGUAAGCGAGGAACCUUACCCAGGCUUGACAUGCGAGAAGUAGGCGCCGGAAAGGGUGGCCCACCCGUAAAGUCGGGAACUCGUGCAGGUGUUGCAUGGCUGUCGUCAGCUCGUGCCGUGAGGUGUUGGCUUAAGUGCCGCAACGAGCGCAACCCCCGUCACAUGUUGCCACCAGGUAAUGCUGAGCACUCAUGGGAGACUGCCGGGGAAACCCCGGAGGAAGGAGGGGAUGACGUCAAGUCAGCAUGGCCCUUACGCCUGGGGCUGCAAACGCGCUACAAUGCGUGGUACAACGGGCUGCGAGACCGCAAGGUGGAGCGAAUCCCAAAAAACCACGCUCAGUUCGGAUUGGGGUCUGCAACUCGACCCCAUGAAGUCGGAGUCGCUAGUAAUGGCAGAUCAGCAUGCUGCCGUGAAUGCGUUCCCGGGCAUUGUACACAC
rnacentral:rRNA from 1 species